AGCGAACGCUGGCGGCAGGCUUAACACAUGCAAGUCGAGCGGGCACUUCGGUGUCAGCGGCAGACGGGUGAGUAACACGUGGGAACGUACCCUUUGGUUCGGAAUAACGCUGGGAAACUAGCGCUAAUACCGGAUACGCCCUUUUGGGGAAAGGCUUGCUGCCGAAGGAUCGGCCCGCGUCUGAUUAGCUAGUUGGUGGGGUAAUGGCCUACCAAGGCGACGAUCAGUAGCUGGUCUGAGAGGAUGAUCAGCCACACUGGGACUGAGACACGGCCCAGACUCCUACGGGAGGUAGCAGUGGGGAAUAUUGGACAAUGGGCGCAAGCCUGAUCCAGCCAUGCCGCGUGAGUGAUGAAGGCCUUAGGGUUGUAAAGCUCUUUUGUCCGGGACGAUAAUGACGGUACCGGAAGAAUAAGCCCCGGCUAACUUCGUG
rnacentral:rRNA from 1 species